rnacentral:misc_RNA from 1 species
GAUGAAGAACGUAGCGAAAUGCGAUAAGUAAUGUGAAUUGCAGAAUUCAGUGAAUCAUCGAAUCUUUGAACGCACAUUGCGCCCUCUGGUAUUCCGGGGGGCAUGCCUGUUCGAGCGUCAUUAUAACCACUCAAGCUCUCGCUUGGUAUUGGGGUUCGCGGUUCCGCGGCCCCUAAAAUCAGUGGCGGUGCCCGUCGGCUCUACGCGUAGUAAUACCCCUCGCGAUUGAGUCCGGUAGGUCUACUUGCCAGCAACCCCCAAUUUUUACAGGUUGACCUCGGAUCAGGUAGGGAUACCCGCUGAACUUAAGCAUAUCAAUAAGCGGAGGA